AUGGAUGGAUCAUGCAGUGCGUCGCUGGGCCAUGCUUCCAUCAAUGAUUUUGUCUACGUGGAUCUCACAUGUGAGGAAAAUCUAGAGACAUGUUUCCGCUCCGGCCCAAGCCUGGUGAAGGGCCGGAGCUCCGCUCCACUCGUCAGAAGUUUCAUAAGCAUCGACUGUGGAUAUACCACAAACCCGACUUACAUAGAUUCCAAGACAGGUAUAUCAUAUGUAAGGGAUGAGGGUUUCACUGAUACAGGACUCAUCCACAAUGUUGACAAGGAGAAUUUGCAGCCUGACCUUGCAGAGCGGUACGAUAACCUUCGCUUCUUUCCCAGCGGAGAACGUAACUGCUACACACUACGGUCCCUAACACCGGGUGGCAAGUACCUUCUUAGGGCUGCAUUUGGCUAUGGUGACUAUGACAAGCUAAACAGUCUUCCUACCUUUGAUCUUUACUUUGGGGCCAACUACUGGACAACAGUGACCAUUGUCAAUUCCAGUACAGCGUACGUGUUUGAGAUAAUUGCUUUGUGCCCUUCCGACUUCCUGCAGAUUUGCUUGGUGAAUAUAGGAUCCGGAACUCCUUUCAUCUCAGGGCUUGAUUUGAGGUCACUCAAAGAAAAUCUUUAUCCGCAGGCCAAUGUGGGACAGGCCCUUGUUUUGCUCAGCUUUUUUCGUGACACAGUUGGUUUUGGACCCAAUCGCUACCACUUCGGAACAAACUAUAUGCACAUUAGGUUCCCAGAUGACCCCUACGACCGAAUGUGGCAGAGAUACCAAGAUGUUCCCAGCUGGACAGAUGUAACCAACAAAUCGGAUGAGCCUGUCCAGAACUCUCCAAACAACAACUACGAUGCACCAUCGGCAGUGAUGCGUAGUGCGUCCACUCCAGGGCCAUAA
rnacentral:rRNA from 1 species